GCCUGGGAGAAGAGACAUGACAGGAGGCACAUGUGUGUCCUCAUGCAUUGGAUUUUUCUUGCUUGGGCUGCAGUGCCUUAUUGUGGAAGACUUUAAUGUGAAGUAUGUUUGUGUCCUUGGCAUGCCUGCCAUGGCACUUCUGGAAAGAGGAGAUGAGAAUCCUUUGGGGAUGGCCCCACUGCAGAUGUUCUGGAGCAACAGGUAUGCCUCACAGAUCAGCCUCAUCACACAGUGUGGCUGCUCACACUUCUGGCACCAAAAUGCAGGUGGUGACUAUUGCUGAUUCCUCCCUCCUGCCCCCAUAUACUGGAGAACCUUUCUCCCACCAGCUCUGGUUGCAGCCAACCAGUUCACCACCACACUCCAUCAGAGGGGCUGUUUUCACUGGUGUCACCUUUGGUGCCAUGCCUGAGGGCAGCUGCUCCCUUUGGUUUGCUGCUCUUACAAGGUACUUCAGGAAAAUCAUGUUUCUGAGCCCAGUUCAGAAGAGUGUUUCCACUUAGGACAGCAGUUAAUUGCAUGGUGGAGUCAAACUGUGAUUGAGUGGGACUUGAGUGAUGCUUUAAGAGGGGGAACACACAGCCUGAGACCUGGAUCUCGUUUACAGGCUCUGUUACACCAAGAAGGGCCUGCCGCUGAAGGCCUUAUCUCUCUCUAACUUUGAGAGAUGGAUGCAAGGAGUGAAAAUGAGGCUGACCACCUGCUCAGAGCAGCAGUUCGGAUUUUGUUUGUUCUGUGCAUUGGUGCCUUUGUGAGGUAGUGAGCCCAGAAGGGAGGGGUGACCAUCAUUGUUCAGCUGCACAGGGCCAAUGCCUGCCCCAGGACCUUAUCCCAGCUGAGGUGCUGGCUCUUGGCCCACAGGCAUAAUGCUUGAGGGAGCUUUCACAGAGUAUUUAUGUUGUUGACUUCCUUUUCCUAUUAGUGGGAACUUCUCAGUCCUUGGGGUUUGGGGUGUGUGACAGGGACCAAAGACAUGGCAUGGGAAAUGGGGUCUUCCCUACAGAUCCUUGCUGGGAGCCAAAGUCUGUUUGUCUCCCUUGUCAGCCCAGUCCAUAACCUCUGGCAACAGUUUCAGCAGGCAAGCUGAACAAAAGUGACUAAGGAUCAGAGACUUCACACAUCUUCAGUUGGAGAAAGUGUGCGGUUCCACCUCUGAAGCAACGUUUCCUAAAAUAACAGCCUCUGGAACCUCUGCAAUCUGUUUCCCUGUCUCCCAGAACUGAGAAGUCUUUCAGCAUUGUGAAGCAAGCUGCAAAAUAACAGCCAGAACAAGAGAGCCUCAGUUUGUAGCACUCUAUCUGGGGACCUAUUGGGCUAUUAUUAGCAGGGGAUACCAAAUUCAUUUUGUAAAUAUUUGAAAAGCCUUGCCAAGCAGCGUUGCAAAGACACAUGGUUUUCUAUGAGCCCUGCAGUCAUUCAGCCUGGACAAAACACAAGGAAAAAGAGCAGUUUGAGCACACCAUUCUGUUUUGUUCUCCUCUACCUGAGGAGAUGCGCUUAUGCACCCCUUGGGCCAAAGCUGAAAAUCCCGCCCCAAACUUUAGACAGAGGGGAUUCUUUCUCGGGUGGAAAGGGGAUUGAGCGGCUCCCGAGCCCUCAGUCCGGGACGUGCUGGUCCCGGCACAAGUCCUGCCCGAGCUGCGGAGCUGCCCUCCGGCAGUGCCACGCGGGAUUCCCCACAGCCUCCUCUCGUCCCCUCCAAGCACAAGGGACCCGCAAUCUCCGUUUGCACCGCUAGAGGGAGGGAAACUACACGGAAUUAGAACCUCCCCCGUCCGUCUGUCCGACCCUCCGCCGUAGGCGUGACAGUAAAUAUUCUUCCAGUAUUGUUUUUAACGAGGAAUUGCUUAAAAACGGGUAAGGUGGGUUGUUUAUCGCAGUUUGUGUGCGUCCGUGCAAGAGCUGAGAGCUGCGCUGCCCUGAGGAAUGGGGCACCCAGGGUGGGGGCCUGCGGGCCACCAGCGUGUUGUGGAAGCUCCUCUUGGGUCACGUCUGUGGGAAGUGCAGUGCGGUAGUAACAGGCUUAGGAGCCGCGUCCCAUCCUUGUGGUAACCGAAUCGGCGCGCGGAGGGGGGAUGUCUGAGGGGCGAUGCAGGCACACCCGCCUUCAAGGCGCCUGUCGGCCCUUCUUUAGCUUCACAAUCUCUGCUGUGGCCAGUUCAGUGUGGUUAAGUGAAUCAAACCACCCCAAAUAAGUCUUUAUGUUUGGUUUCUCUCUCCUCCUCUCCCCUUCCCCACACUUUCUUAACACUUACAAAAGAAGAAGCACAUUUAACAAAAAGGAAAAGUAUAUUUUAAUGAAAGCAAACGGUAACGGGAACUUUAACUUAUGGAGAACUUCUUUUUCUUUCUGUUUCUGCACAAAAUUAUGAAAUUUGAUUAAGAAAAACGUGAUGAUAUUUCCAACCUAGGAAAAGGAAUGCAGUUGUCAAUGAAACCCACUCCCAUUGGCAGUACCAGAGAACAACCUUCACACUUUCAGAACCUAUUUCAUCAAACCUGGUAGCUGUUUGUUCACCAUGUACCCUGGACUUGGUGUUACACAGCUGGAUACGCUCAGCUUUCCUCCGUAGAAAGGCACUGAGUAACCACAGCAGCUCGUGCUUAGUUUGCUGAGGGGAUGCCUGUCCUCUGCCCAGUGUGGAAGGGAGAAAGCAGGCAUGUUGGAAUGAGCUGCUGGUUCUGUCAGAAAACCAAG